GCGAAUGUGGGUCCAGCAUGCGGGGUAAUACGUGGGCGGCAAGCGUUGUUCGGAAUGACUGGGCGUAAAGAGUGUGGAGGCGGUGUUCUAAGUCUGUGGUUAAAUCUCCCGGCUCAACGGGGAGGGUGCGCCGGAAACUGGAAUGCGCGAGUAUGGGAGAGGUAAGCGGAAUUCCUGGUGUAGCGGUGAAAUGCGUAGAUAUCAGGAGGAACACCUGUGGUGUAGACAGCUUACUGGACCAUCACUGACGCUGAGACACGAAAGCGUGGGUAGCAAACAGGAUUAGAUACCCCAGUAGUC
rnacentral:rRNA from 1 species